AUUGAACGCUGGCGGCAUGCCUUACACAUGCAAGUCGAACGGCACCGCGGGCUUUGGUCUCGCGGCGAUUCGCGAACGGGUGAGUCAUGCACCUGAAUGUGCCCUGUCUUCGGGGAUAGCCUGCCAAAAGCCGAUUUAAUAUUCCAUCCGACCUUAUGUUGACAGCGGGUGGCCGAAAGUCCUCGUGCUAUUUUGGUGGCCUAUGUCGGAUUACCUAGGUGGGGGGGCAAAGGCUUACCAAGGCUACUAUCCGUAGCUGGUCUGAGAGGACGACCAGCCACACUGGGACUGAGACACAGCCCAGACUCCGACGGGAGGCAGCAGUGGGGAAUUUUGCGCAAUGGGGGAAACCCUGAUCCAGGAAUGCCGCGUGAGGGAAGAAGGCCUUCGGGUGGGAAAGCGCUGUUGUUAGGGAAGAAAUAAUGUGGGCUAAUACCCGGGGGGGAUGACGGUACCGGAAGAAUAAGCACCGGCUAACUACGUG
rnacentral:rRNA from 1 species